GAAACAGAGUAAUCUCGCAAUUUAAAGCGCGGUGGGGGGAAGAGUGGAAAGGUGUUGCAUUAAUUACUUAAUUUCUAAUUGAAGUGUAUUACUGACCUUUAAUAAUUCGUGUGGCCAAAAUAAUUCACAUUUUUCAUAAGGCGAUCCUUUCUCACGACCAUUCUCUUGUUUCAAAAAUCCUCUUAACUGGUCCGCGUAGCUCUCGUUUUUUUUUGGUUCAUCGAGAUUAAUUUCUUGCACUCCGCUAGAUUUAUCUUUGUGAUGGAUCAACAUUCUUCUGGUCUCUCCAUAACGUAUUUCGCACACAGUCGAUGUCACUGCUUCUAGCCCCACAGGUAAAAUAUUUUCUCCCAGAAUGAGGUUUAUCAAGCUGCUUUUACCUGAACUUACUUCACCUGCACAA